CCGCCCCUAGCUCAGCUGGUUAGAGCAUUCGGCUUAUACCCGAAGGGUCCUUGGUUCAAAUCCAAGGGGGCGGACCG
rnacentral:tRNA from 4 species